GAUGAACGCUAGCGGCAGGCUUAAUACAUGCAAGUCGUGGGGCAGCAGGGGUGUAGCAAUACAUCUGCUGGCGACCGGCAAACGGGUGCGUAACACGUACGCAACCUUCCCGUUACUGUGGCAUAGCCCAGGGAAACUUGGAUUAAUACCACAUAUUAUAUUGGUGAGGCAUCUCAUUGAUAUCAAAGCUUCGGCGGUAACGGAUGGGCGUGCGGUUGAUUAGGUAGUUGGCGGGGUAACGGCCCACCAAGCCUACGAUCAAUAGCUGAUGUGAGAGCAUGAUCAGCCACACGGGCACUGAGACACGGGCCCGACUCCUACGGGAGGCAGCAGUAAGGAAUAUUGGGCAAUGGACGAAAGUCUGACCCAGCCAUGCCGCGUGAAGGAUUAAGGUCCUCUGGAUUGUAAACUUCUUUUCUCUGGGGCGAAAACCAGCUAUUCUUAGCUAUUUGACAGUACCAGAGGAAUAAGCACCGGCUAACUCCGUGCCAGCCGCCGCAGUAACAC
rnacentral:rRNA from 1 species